AAAAAAAAAACCCAGCUCAGGUUGAAGCAAUCAAGGCACAGCCAAUGAGGAACCGCGCUUAGCUACUAUAAAGGGGAAAUGCCUGCCCACCCAUGAAGGGAGUUUGCAGCAAGAGUUCUGGACAGAGCUGUGUUGAUGCAUCUUCUUUGUAUGCUUCGGUCUUUAAAACAAGAGCAAAGAAACUUUGGAGGUGUGGGGAACUCAUCACCUGCAAUUAUCACAAUCAUCUCUGCUUGUAACCCUUCCUUCUCAAAGAGCUGGAAACAGAAACAUGAAGAAAGCAUUCUGAAGCAUUGGUGGAGUAGCCUGGCUUGUUGAAUGAAGUACAUAAAAUCCAUGCUUCUAUCUCGAUACUGAAAGGUGUCCCUCACUUCAGUUCUCAUUCUGUAACACUGAAGGACAGUGGGAGGCAACCUGUUACAUCUUUUUCAGACCAUCCAUGCAGCAUUGUCUUGAGAACAACUUGAACAUUUCGUUCCUGUUAUCUGUGUCGAAAUCUCCAGAUCACCCCAAACCUCAUAUACUUGCAUAAAAUAAGUGGUGACAGAAGGAAGAGACUGAGAAUUCAGGUGGAGAGAAGAGAGGCAGUUCUUUAGAGUGAGAGAUACGUGACUCACUGGAAAAAAGAGAACUCAUUUUCAAGAUGAAAUGAAAAAAUGCCAUUACUGUGCUAAAUCAAAGAAAUUGUUAUUUUUGCUCUUUCUAAUGUGAAGCAAAAGCUGGACAAAUGCAAUUUUCAAAAGGAGAUCCUGCUCUCCAUUAUGAGUAUUCCUGGAAUCAGUAGCUACUGGUUCUAUGGCCAGUGUGAAAAAAAAAAAAAAAACAAAACAAAAAACAGAGAGAAAAUAAAAUUUUCCUCCUAUCUCUGUUCCACUCUCAUUUUAAUACAUCUUCAGACUAAAGCAGUGACAUCUCAUUUUCGACUGAAGACGUUUGGAAAUGGAUCUCCUAAAAAGAUGUCAGCAAACAGGCAAAUAAACACAGAAUGCAUAUCUAAGCUACUGGAUGUUUACAAAAGGUACUGCAGAAGGGAAAAUGUACCAGAUGAAAUGGAAAUUAUUUCAUGAAUCACCUCACGAUUUCACAGAAAUAAGGGAAGUAUUAUUACUGAUUAUUCUCCAUAAAACAAGUUUAAAAACAUACCAUCGUCUAAAAAGGAAAAGUGAAAGGUUUCUAAAUUGGAUAUUUCAAUAUUGCUAAUGAGAACGAAGUGAGCUGAUGAAUGUUGAAUCAUUCCUUGACAGUUUUUAAACAAAUAUUAUCAUUCAUUCUCUUUCCUGCAUCGACAGAUGAUGUUUCUUGUUCAAAUGAGGCUUCCUGACUUUUGAUAAAGGCUGCUGAAAAUAGCACUCCCCUUCCCAAGCUGUAUAUUCACCUCUAGCAUAUACUGACAUACUGACAGGGAAUGAAAAUUUGGGAUGCUCUGCAGUGUUCUGCCCUUUCAUGAAGGGUUUGUCUUGUGUGUGAAGUAUGAUGUACACCAUGGUAUCACUAUAUCACAUUACCCGGUGAUGAAUUUAGAAGCUGCCACUGCUGUCUAAUUCAGCAAUCCAUUUUGAAAUUGAGUAGCCUCUUCUCUCCCUUAAAAGUAGGGCAUCAUUAAAUUAAAGUAACCUAUUGUGUGCAGCAGACUAGGCAAGAAGUGGGUGAUGUUCUCCUGCCUUCAGCUGUCUGUCCCUGCCUGCUGGCUGCUUUCAAAUGGAGGAGACAAGUCUGAUGGGCUGCUUAAACUCGUUCCUUCACUUCCCUCCAUUCUUAGCCUCCACAGAGGGCAGACUUGGGACUGUAAAGAACAGCUGCUUACCUCACUGAUGCUUUAUAUACUGAUUUAAGUGUGUAUAUGCUCACUUUUAUAUCUUGUUUAUUCAUUACUGUGGAAGGCUAUAGGAAGUUGGAGGUGAGGAGAUGCUUUCCUGCAGGGGGAAAGUUGCAAGGUACAAGACUGAAAAUGGAUUUUGGAUUUGUGGAGCAGGCUGUGUGUAAGCAAAUGCACUUGGAUUCCGUGCUGGCUUUCUCCCGUUACACAGUUUUUGCAUUGUUCUUGAUCAAAAUGGAUGGAAAAUACUGAGGGUGUUCACUUGGUUUUGCUAUAAUUGCUAUAAACAUUCUAAAUAGUGCUUUGGUUAAUAGUCAGAAGGACAAAUGGGAAGGAAGCCAUCAGGUGGGUAGUCAGGUAGAGACACUUUGUUUGCGUUUACUGUAAGAGCACAUUGGAAAUAUUGUUAAUUUAACAUCAACCAUCUAAAGAUAGCACCAAUUCUAAUUUCAUCAGCAGGUGAGUGUGAAAAAUCGGCCAAUGUUUUCAAUGUAGAAGUGGAAAAAUAAAAAAAUAGAAAGCCAGUUAUGUAUUAAUUGUGAUAGAGCACUAUCUGAAUUUGAAGAGCUAGAAAUUCUGCCCAUUUCAUCGAGACUUGACCUAACAUUUCCCACUGCGAGUAGAAAAUAUUGAUAUAAUGCAUAGGAAUCAUUCUGUUUGUGGUGGGUUUUUGUGGUUGUUUGUCCUUUUCUUUCUUUCUUUUUUUUUACUAGCCGUUGCCCAUAUGGCCAGUUAAUUAUCCUUCUGCAGGCAGAAUUAUUUUAUUUAAUGAAUUUUUAAAUGUCAGUGACGUGAAAAACCAUUACUGUGGUUGUAAGUCCAUUACUCACCUUCAGCUUCUAUUUCCCAUCACCCCCCACUUUAGCUUUAAGGAGCAUCUGAAGUGACAGAGCUUUGAUUUCAGUUGAGAGUGCUGAGCACAGAAGUCUUACAAGUAAUACAUUAUUAAAAAAUCGUAGCAAGAAAAUUAAUUUCUACUAUCGUAUGCCAUGCUGGGUAUAUCACUUCUAACAAAUGACCUUUUUUUUUCAUAUAUUCAUUGGUAGAUUUACCAGGACAAAAUAAUUACUUUGUUUUCCACCUCUAAGAAAAAAAAAAAAGUCUUUUUCUUGUGCGUGUGUGGUUUUCUUGUUUUGUUUUUAAUUGAAAUAAGUACACAAAAUGGGUUCUAUAAGAUAAAAAGAAAAAGGAAAGAAAAAAGAAGGAACUGGAAAACCACACAGAAAUGAGGCACUGGCUCCCUGUCAUGUUGUCUGGUCAGUAAUAUUUCUUACUGUGAAAUUCCUGCAUGUUCGCAUGUUCAUGUUUAAAUCCUCCCAGAGAGAUUUUGCAUUGGAUCCUAGUUGAACUCAAGAAGGUAGAUGGUUAUGCGGUUUCUCAUAUUUCUUGCUUUUGAGAGGAACGUCUGUUUAUCCAGAGAGCCUUAUCUGGGCUUGGCGACGAGCACAUUCCGCAGCCAGAAGAAGGACCAGACAGCUAUACUCUGGACCACCUCAUUUCAGAAUUCUGCUUGAAGCACACUAAAGACUUCAGUGAGACUUUCUGACAGCGUGUGGUAAUGAAACUACCCCAUAAGGAGAUGAAAAACAAGAUAUACUCAAUGGGAGGAGCACAUGCUUGUACUUAAAUUCUUCUGUUUCUCCUUCAGUCAGAUGGGCAAAGGAAAAUGCUGUCCUAUCCCAAGAAAUGCAAAGGCAUAAUCAAGUAUGUCUGUGCCUCUCUUGCCAUUUUGAUAUUGGGAACUCAUCCAGCUGUGAACCAAUAGUCUUAUAUGGAAGAUCAGAACUGCUGCUCCUUCGCUUCUUGAUGUAGGAUCUCUCUAUACACAAGCACUGUGCGCGAGUCUUCCCCUUAAAACUUUGAGCACUGCAUAAAUUCUGCUGGUCAAGAGGCUCAGACUGUGAUUUCAAAAGGAACUCCCGUAUUUGUCAACACGUAGCUGAUGAAUGCUCACAGCUAAGAAGUGGUAUUGUGGAUCCCUUUCAUGACUUAUACCUAUAUUUAGUAAGUAUGGAUGACUAACUAAUCCUUUACUGGGAGCAGCUACUGCAAAAUGUAAGUAAGUGCAGAAAUCACCAUCACUGAAUAAAUACUGUGUUGAGUACAGGACGUGUCUUGCAUUAAUAUUUUUGGCCAUUAGAAAUAUUAGAGCAACAGUAGGUUUUAUCACUAGACUGGUUAUGUGUAACCUGUGUCACCUUCCUUUCUUAUCUUUAAAAAUUUCAAGAUGUGAUUUUAUUUCACAGCUGUGAUAACUGCAGAAUAAUCACACCAAUCACCAAGUUACUUGAAAAUAAGUAAGUAACAACAUGAGACAAACCUUAUCUUUACUACAAAGGCAUGCACAAGUUGCUCUAAAUUCUAGCUGGCACUUUACGCACCAAAAGGCUAAGAACUAUUCAAUCACCCUGCUCUUCCAGAACUUCCUUUACUGACUAAUAUAUUCUGGAGAGGUACCUGUGGGAGGAUUGGAGUGAGCCACUGCCUGCAGAGCUAAAUAACAAGCAUGAACACAAGGUACUCACCUAAACAUCCUCCAUGAAAAUGCAGCUGACACACUUGAGGGACGGGAUGCCAUUCGAAAGAAGCAUGGUGAGCAGGGCCAGGGAGAUGGUCCUGUCCUCUACUCUGCGCUGGCAAGGCCUCACCUGGAGUACUGGGUCCAGAUGUGGCGUCCUUUGUACAGGAGAGGCACUGACCUGUUGGAGUGCAUCCAGAGGAGGGUCACAAAAAUGAUCCAAGGGAUGGAACACGUCUCCUAAGAGGACAUGCUGAAAGAGCAGGGGCUGUUCAGCCUGGAGAAGAGAAGGCUCCAGGGAGACCUGAGAGCAGCCAUUCAUAUCUAAAGGGGAGCUACAGGAAAGAAGGGGACAGACUCUUUAGAAGGGUUUAUUGUGAUGGGACAAGAGGAAGUGGUUUCAAGCUAUAAGGGGAAGAUUUAUACUGGAUAUAAGGAAGAAGUUCUUUGCAAUAAGGGUGGUGAGGCACUGGAACAGGUUGCCCAGAGAGGUGGUGGGAGCCCCAUUCUUGGAGACAGUCAAGGUCAGGCUGGAUGGGGCUUUGAGUACCCUGAUCUAGCUGUAGCUGUCUCCGUUCAUUGCAGGGGUGUUGGACUAGAUGGCCUUUAACGGUCUCUUCCAGCUCAAAAAAAUCCAUUAUUCUGUGAUUUUCACCCAGCCUAGUAUCUUUCCUGACAGGCUGUGUAGCCCGGCAGAUAAAGGAAGCAAAAUUAUCCUUCUUGAAUGUUAGCUCUUGCUUAGCAUCUUGGCAAAACCAGUUGGCAAAUAAACCUUUGUUUGACCUUGGUAUGUUUCUCUGGAAGCUCUGUUUUUCUCCUCUGCACUCCCUUCUUUAAAUAGAAAGAGAGGUCUCGGACCAACAGAGCGCAAAGGAGUCACAGCAGGCACAUGGGGAGGGAGUCUCUGCUUCCUCAGCUCUGGAUACAUCCCAGCCUGACAUGAUUUGUCACCUUGUGUAAUAUAAUUCAGCUUAAGAUAUAAAUUCCUGUAAGCCUUAAGCUGUGCAGCCAGAACGGUGAUAAAGUAACAGAGAAAUGAAGAUUUACAAGACACAUCUAAGGUGUAAACAUGAAUAAAAUAAUCCACACGCGUACAUAGUAAAAUGCUGUAUUCCUAUGCUUGCUUUAUAUUCCCCACACAGUUCGAAGUCUGAUUUACUGCUCCUUACUGAAAACACACUCUUGCUUGAAUAGAAACUUGCUGAAAUUUCACAAUUCUUAUCACUACUCAGGAUUGCUACAAAUUUGAUUCAGUUUGGGUUGGUUUGCCUUAGAAAUUUCUUCUGUGGGAACAGAACAUUUGCACAAGUCGUAUACCCCCCUACGUAUACCAUAGGGCCAUUUUUGCCGUGCCUUCCAGCGCUGGCUGCUAAAUGCAUGGACUCUCAGCUGUG
rnacentral:lncRNA from 1 species